rnacentral:rRNA from 1 species
AAGGUAGCAUAAUCAUUAGUCAUUUAAUUGAUGACUUGUAUGAAGGAUUGGAUGAAAUAUAAACUGUCUCUUAAUUAUAUUUAGAAUUUAAUUUUUUAAUUAAAAAGUUAAAAUGAAUUAAAAAGACGAGAAGACCCUAUAGAGUUUUAUAAUUAAAUUAAUUGAGAUUUUUUGUAAGAUUAAAAUUAAAAUUAAUUUAUUUAUUUUGUUGGGGUGACAGAAAAAUAUGGAGAACUUUUUUUAUAAUAUUACAUAAAUAAGUGGUUAAAUGAUCCAAUAUUAUUGAUUAUAAGAAAAAAUUACCUUAGGGAUAACAGCGUAAUUUUUUUUUUUAGUUCAUAUAAAAAAAAAAGUUUGCGACCUCGAUGUUGGAUUAAGAUAAAAUUUAAAUGCAGAAG